GAAUUCCUUGUGUAUUAAGAUGUUUUUACCUUGUUUGUCAUCUUUGUAAUAACCACCUCUCUGCUUCCUCUUUUAAUGAGGUAACUACUUCAAAAAUGUGCUAGCAUCAACUUCCUUAACAAGACCCCCAAAGUGCAAGAAAUAAAAGCAAGAAUCAAUAAAUGGGAUGUCAUUAAAUAAAAACCUUCACAGGAAAGGAAACGAUUAAGAGCAUGAAGAGAGAGCCUAUAGGAUGGGAGAAAAUCUUGGCCAGCUAUCCCUCUGAUAGGGGAUUAAUAUCCAGAAUAUACAAAGAACUCAAAACCUUCACACCAAUAAUAAUAAUAAUAAUAAUAAUAAUAAUAAUAAUAAUAAUAAUAAUAAUAUUAUUAUCAUUCAAUCAAUAAAUGGGCACAUGAACUAAACAAAAACUUUACACCAAAAAAAUCAAUAAAUGGGCAAAAGAACUAAACAAAAACUUCACACAAUAAAUAUCUAAAAAAAAUCAACAACUCUAGCAAUCAAGGAAAUGCAAAUCAAAACUACAUUAAGAUUUCAUCUCAUUCUAGUCAGAAUAUCAAUG
rnacentral:lncRNA from 1 species